UACGUAGGUGGCAAGCGUUGUCCGGAUUUACUGGGCGUAAAGAGCGCGCAGGCGGUCGUUCAAGUCGCGUGUGAAAGCCCCCGGCUCAACUGGGGAGGGUCACGCGAUACUGACCGACUCGAAGGCAGGAGAGGGUAGUGGAAUUCCCGGUGUAGUGGUGAAAUGCGUAGAUAUCGAGAGGAACACCAGUGGCGAAGGCGAGUCUCUGGACGACUCCUGACACUGAGGCACGAAAGCUAGGGGAGCAAACAGG
rnacentral:rRNA from 1 species